AGCGUACACGGUGGAUGCCCUGGCAGUCAGAGGCGAUGAAGGACGUGCUAAUCUGCGAUAAGCGUCGGUAAGGUGAUAUGAACCGUUAUAACCGGCGAUUUCCGAAUGGGGAAACCCAGUGUGAUUCGUCACACUAUCAUUAACUGAAUCCAUAGGUUAAUGAGGCGAACCGGGGGAACUGAAACAUCUAAGUACCCCGAGGAAAAGAAAUCAACCGAGAUUCCCCCAGUAGCGGCGAGCGAACGGGGAGCAGCCCAGAGCCUGAAUCAGUGUGUGUGUUAGUGGAAGCGUCUGGAAAGGCGUGCGAUACAGGGUGACAGCCCCGUACACAAAAAUGCACAUGCUGUGAGCUCGAUGAGUAGGGCGGGACACGUGGUAUCCUGUCUGAAUAUGGGGGGACCAUCCUCCAAGGCUAAAUACUCCUGACUGACCGAUAGUGAACCAGUACCGUGAGGGAAAGGCGAAAAGAACCCCGGCGAGGGGAGUGAAAAAGAACCUGAAACCGUGUACGUACAAGCAGUGGGAGCACGCUUAGGCGUGUGACUGCGUACCUUUUGUAUAAUGGGUCAGCGACUUAUAUUCUGUAGCAAGGUUAACCGAAUAGGGGAGCCGAAGGGAAACCGAGUCUUAACUGGGCGUUAAGUUGCAGGGUAUAGACCCGAAACCCGGUGAUCUAGCCAUGGGCAGGUUGAAGGUUGGGUAACACUAACUGGAGGACCGAACCGACUAAUGUUGAAAAAUUAGCGGAUGACUUGUGGCUGGGGGUGAAAGGCCAAUCAAACCGGGAGAUAGCUGGUUCUCCCCGAAAGCUAUUUAGGUAGCGCCUCGUGAAUUCAUCUCCGGGGGUAGAGCACUGUUUCGGCAAGGGGGUCAUCCCGACUUACCAACCCGAUGCAAACUGCGAAUACCGGAGAAUGUUAUCACGGGAGACACACGGCGGGUGCUAACGUCCGUCGUGAAGAGGGAAACAACCCAGACCGCCAGCUAAGGUCCCAAAGUCAUGGUUAAGUGGGAAACGAUGUGGGAAGGCCCAGACAGCCAGGAUGUUGGCUUAGAAGCAGCCAUCAUUUAAAGAAAGCGUAAUAGCUCACUGGUCGAGUCGGCCUGCGCGGAAGAUGUAACGGGGCUAAACCAUGCACCGAAGCUGCGGCAGCGACGCUGAUGCGUUGUUGGGUAGGGGAGCGUUCUGUAAGCCUGUGAAGGUGUACUGUGAGGUAUGCUGGAGGUAUCAGAAGUGCGAAUGCUGACAUAAGUAACGAUAAAGCGGGUGAAAAGCCCGCUCGCCGGAAGACCAAGGGUUCCUGUCCAACGUUAAUCGGGGCAGGGUGAGUCGACCCCUAAGGCGAGGCCGAAAGGCGUAGUCGAUGGGAAACAGGUUAAUAUUCCUGUACUUGGUGUUACUGCGAAGGGGGGACGGAGAAGGCUAUGUUGGCCGGGCGACGGUUGUCCCGGUUUAAGCGUGUAGGCUGGUUUUCCAGGCAAAUCCGGAAAAUCAAGGCUGAGGCGUGAUGACGAGGCACUACGGUGCUGAAGCAACAAAUGCCCUGCUUCCAGGAAAAGCCUCUAAGCAUCAGGUAACAUCAAAUCGUACCCCAAACCGACACAGGUGGUCAGGUAGAGAAUACCAAGGCGCUUGAGAGAACUCGGGUGAAGGAACUAGGCAAAAUGGUGCCGUAACUUCGGGAGAAGGCACGCUGAUAUGUAGGUGAAGUCCCUCGCGGAUGGAGCUGAAAUCAGUCGAAGAUACCAGCUGGCUGCAACUGUUUAUUAAAAACACAGCACUGUGCAAACACGAAAGUGGACGUAUACGGUGUGACGCCUGCCCGGUGCCGGAAGGUUAAUUGAUGGGGUUAGCGCAAGCGAAGCUCUUGAUCGAAGCCCCGGUAAACGGCGGCCGUAACUAUAACGGUCCUAAGGUAGCGAAAUUCCUUGUCGGGUAAGUUCCGACCUGCACGAAUGGCGUAAUGAUGGCCAGGCUGUCUCCACCCGAGACUCAGUGAAAUUGAACUCGCUGUGAAGAUGCAGUGUACCCGCGGCAAGACGGAAAGACCCCGUGAACCUUUACUAUAGCUUGACACUGAACAUUGAGCCUUGAUGUGUAGGAUAGGUGGGAGGCUUUGAAGUGUGGACGCCAGUCUGCAUGGAGCCGACCUUGAAAUACCACCCUUUAAUGUUUGAUGUUCUAACGUUGACCCGUAAUCCGGGUUGCGGACAGUGUCUGGUGGGUAGUUUGACUGGGGCGGUCUCCUCCUAAAGAGUAACGGAGGAGCACGAAGGUUGGCUAAUCCUGGUCGGACAUCAGGAGGUUAGUGCAAUGGCAUAAGCCAGCUUGACUGCGAGCGUGACGGCGCGAGCAGGUGCGAAAGCAGGUCAUAGUGAUCCGGUGGUUCUGAAUGGAAGGGCCAUCGCUCAACGGAUAAAAGGUACUCCGGGGAUAACAGGCUGAUACCGCCCAAGAGUUCAUAUCGACGGCGGUGUUUGGCACCUCGAUGUCGGCUCAUCACAUCCUGGGGCUGAAGUAGGUCCCAAGGGUAUGGCUGUUCGCCAUUUAAAGUGGUACGCGAGCUGGGUUUAGAACGUCGUGAGACAGUUCGGUCCCUAUCUGCCGUGGGCGCUGGAGAACUGAGGGGGGCUGCUCCUAGUACGAGAGGACCGGAGUGGACGCAUCACUGGUGUUCGGGUUGUCAUGCCAAUGGCACUGCCCGGUAGCUAAAUGCGGAAGAGAUAAGUGCUGAAAGCAUCUAAGCACGAAACUUGCCCCGAGAUGAGUUCUCCCUGACUCCUUGA
rnacentral:rRNA from 1 species